rnacentral:ncRNA from 1 species
GCAAAUGCAGUGACGAGGAGGAGUACAUACUCACCGGGAUUUCAGAGAGAAGAUGGUUGGUGCGAAUCUUUAUUUUCGAAGUAUGGAAGUAGCCUUUGAGCAGUGGACCGAACGGGAUUGUCCCAAGUAGGCUUCAACGGAAUUUUCCACCGUUACAGGGAAAGCGGUAUCGAUAGCAAUAUCCGUGCUGAUUGAGUUUCAUGAAUCAGUAAGAUAUGGUGUCUGUACUGAACGAGAGCAGAGAGAAGUCUCUGAAUUUAGGUGGUAACACGGAUGGAUCAUUCGCCCUAAGC